AAAGAACUUUAAGUCUGUAACUUUCAUACAGAGUUACUCAGAAUUUUGAGAUUCUUACUAAGUGAUCGCUGUGGUGGUAGAUUAACUAAUUUAAACCCCUGCUCUACUGAUGAUUGGUCAGAGAGAUGGUGUGUGGAUCGCCUUGUUUAUUUUUUACUCAACUGAAACACACUGAAUUCCACAACACAUCAACAUGCAAAGAUUUUCAAAGUCAAGCUAGCAUAACUGACCUACUUCCUUUAGUAUAUAUUUUCUAAAUUAAACUUUGACCUAAAACUAACCCUGUUAUCUAUUUGUCAUAUUGUUGACAAUUAGUAGCAAAACACAGCAUCCCUUUCACUUUUAUACAUCAUGCGUACAUUUAAGAUUUAGCACAAUAUGUUAACAGUUUGAUACCUAAACCAAUGGUAGUCAUCAUCGGAGGAUAGUUUUUUGCUCUCUAGCAGGAAGCUGGAGGGCAAAAAACUUGAUUAUUGGAACACAUUUAAUUCCAUUACUUAUGGUUGAUAUGUCUAUUUGAGCCUGUAUGUUCAAACUUUAUAGAUCAGAAUGAACACACAUCAAAUUCAAAUCAAGGACCCAUUUUGUUCCAUUUUUUUUAAUCAUUAAAGUGAUAAUUUGUAUCUUUGUUUUUAUUCAGACAUAGACAAAAAAGAACAAUUCAAACGCAUUUUAAAAAAAAUAAAUUCUCUGACGUUCAUGCCGACGAUCUGACAUAUCGUGCAAACUCAGAAGCAUGAAGCUUAUCACAAAUCUUGACAUGUAAAAGGAGAGCUGUUUUAAUCACUAAUAACAUUUUUCUUUUCUUUUUUUUUUUUUUUUGCCCAUGCUUCACCGAACAUGCUGCACUGGAAGAAAGCUCACGUUUGGAGCAACUCUGAACCAGACACCAAUCAUCACAGCUGUCAGCUUCACAACCAGCCUGGUUGCGUAUCGGAAGGUCCUGGCCUCGUCUCACCGAGGUCUGCUGCUGCGCUUUUCUUCCUGACGAACACACCGGGGAGGGAACGAUUUAAAAUGUACGAUUGAGUCGUGCGCAGGAGGCUCUGUGUGGACCGAGCUUUUCUAGCAGAGAGUGCUGUGCGCAGCAGUUUCCUGACAUGCACUUGAGGAAUUUAUGCAGCUUUUGUUGUCAUCCCCCCCGCAAGAUGCAAAUCUGGCUAUAAAUCUGCAGUGUGCAACUACAUUUUGUUGGCAUCUUAUCUGAAAUAAAGAUCAAGACGGCUAUUUUUCUUCCUGAAGUAUCAGGAGAGCCGGUGCACUCGGACACAGGGAGGCUUUAAUUCCUGCGGUAACAAGCCAUGCAGUGACAUUGUGUGUUAAUAGCUAAAUAAAGAACCGGCGGUCAUGUAGAACGCCACGCGGGCGGCCCAGUUUAGAUCAACACAACCUCGGCAGUAGGGAUCCGAUCGGCGCAGGUCAUGGAGUCCUUCAUUAAUAUGAAAACAAUAGGCUCUGUCGGGAGGUGGUAGACUUUCUAAUUUUAUUUCAGAGACCACAUGUCAGGAGGAGGGUAGGGGGGCUGGGAUUUGAAUUUGCAGAGUCCCGGUGCGAACCCCGGUCCGAGGCCUCGAGGGGAAAACACGGAGCAGGUGGAGCGACAGAGGAACGAAACCGUCACGGUUUCAUUCCUCUGAUGACUUGUUUCCCUGAAGAAAGCUGGUGUCAUGUAAACAUUUGCCUCUUUAUUGCACCGAGUCAUUUCAGCGUUCAAGCUAAUCCAUCAUUAAACAACGCUCAGGAACGAGCUCCGGCUUCACAAACACAGAAAACGCUCCGCUGGCUUCGGCGGCGCGAGAUGAGGAGUUCAAAGCUUUGUGUUUUAAGAGUUGAAUAUCUGAUCAUGUUAGAGCAUCUGUCUUCAAUCCAUUUAGCUAAAAAUACAGCUUUAAGUUAGCUAACAGAUCUAGAGACCAACAUUUCUGCAUAUUUGUCUUUUGCAAAAUAUCUUAAUUGGAUUGAUUGGAGGAAGAGUGUCUGAAAAUCAAUCUUCAAGAUUCUCAACUGGAUUCAGUUCUGGCCUUUGACUGGACCAUUUGAUGUUUUAAUCUGAAUCUUUCUAGGAAAAUGAACUAGAGUUUGAUUAAAGUGGACAAAACAAGACUGGUUUCAUUUUUGGAAACUAUGUCAGCUUUGUGUUAGUCACCACUUCAGCUGACAUCGACUGUCCAGAUUCAUAACGAGGGCUCCAUUUUAAAAUCCCAAUCAAAUUAGCUGAAGUUAGAGGUUGUACUGUGAGAAAACGUGAAGAUCGGCGCAUGCUGUCAGAGGCAUAAUAAAUGUUUGCUCUGUUCAAGCGUACCGUGUAACCAGGUUCGCAAAGAGCAAGUUUUCCCCGAAAGCAGCUGCCGGUUGUGUGAGCUGAGAAUAAAGAUCACACAGGGGUAACUGUGGAACAGCUGCAGCACUGGAAGUUGGGGGAGCGCAACAUCAGGGGGUGGAGAACCAAUUGAGAUCCUCUAUAGCUCCAGGGGAAGACGUUGUUUUGCUGGUGUAGAGAGCGAGGCAAACACAGACCAAUUUACUAGGAGGAAAAACUGUGUCGGAGAAGAAAAGGAAAAGAAAAAAAAGAAG